UGCUCUGAUAGUCUAGCUUGGACAGAACUUCAGAUUGCGGAUCUGAAAACCGGGGUUCAAAUCCCCGUCAGAGCGU
rnacentral:tRNA from 1 species